UCUGGUGGCCACAGCCUGCGCGAAACACCCGAUCCCAUCCCGAACUCGGCCGUUAAGCGCGCAAGCGCCGAUGGUACUGCGUCCCAAGACGCGGGAGAGUAGGUUACCGCCAGAC
rnacentral:rRNA from 1 species